rnacentral:rRNA from 1 species
AAUGAACGCUGGCGGCGCGCCUAAUACAUGCAAGUCGAGCGAGAAGACGUAGCAAUACGUUUGUAAAGCGGCGAACGGGUGAGGAAUACAUGGGUAACCUACCCUCGAGUGGGGAAUAACUAGCCGAAAGGUUAGCUAAUACCGCGUACGCUCCUUGGACUUCGGUUCAGGGAGGAAAGCGAUACCGUGGGUAUCGCGCUCUUGGUUGGGCUCAUGUCCUAUCAGCUUGUUGGUGAGGAACGGCUCACCAAGGCUUCGACGGGUAGCUGGUCUGAGAGGACGAUCAGCCACACUGGCACUGCGACACGGGCCAGACUCCUACGGGAGCAGCAGUAAGGAAUAUUGGACAAUGGGCGCAAGCCUGAUCCAGCCAUGCCGCGUGUGUGAAGAAGGCC